UCGCAUCUGUGCAUGCAGCAUAUCAAUAAGCGGAGGAAAAGUAACUAACAAGGAUUCCCUUAGUAAUCGGCGAGUGAAGCGGGAAGAGUUCAAAUUUGAAAUCUUCAAGGUUUUACCUUGACGAAUUGUAGUUUAAAGAAGUGUUUUCUGUUGAAGUUUUGGUAAAAGUUCUUUGGAAUAGGACAUCAUAGAGGGUGAGAAUCCCGUAUUUGACCAUUAUUUUCAGCUGUGUGAUACACUUUCAAAGAGUCGGAUUGUUUGGGAAUGCAGUCCAAAAUGGGUGGUAAAUUUCAUCUAAAGCUAAAUAUUGGCGAGAGACCGAUAGCGAACAAGUACCGUGAGGGAAAGAUGAAAAGAACUUUGAAAAGAGAGUUAAACAGUACGUGAAAUUGUCAAAAGGGAAGCGUUUGACACCAGUGUUGUUUUCUCGAAAAUCAAUUAAAAAGAGUUUAGAUUUUGUUGUGUAUUGACCUUAACAGCUUGCAUUUCAAUUUUCUUGCUUUUUUAAUGCACUUUUCGUUUAACAAGUCAACAUCAGUUUCUUUUGUUGUAAAAAGGUCAUUGGAAGGUGGCUUUCUUUUCGGAGAAAGUGUUUAUAGCCUUUGACUCCUGCAAUCGGAGAGACUGAGGUCUGCAGCGUAGAUCCUUCGGGGUUAGAUACAUUUGUGCUAAGUUAUAGCUUUUUAUAGACAACUUGUUGACUAUGAUUAGUCUUGUAGCUUACUCGCUUAUGUUAUUUUACCUACGCUUAGGAUGUUGAUGUGAUACUGCGAGCA
rnacentral:rRNA from 1 species